rnacentral:lncRNA from 1 species
AAAAAUUAAAAAAAUUGGUAUUUUUGUCCAACUCAAAAGGUGCACCUUGCUAACUUAGACCCAACUGGGUCUAAGUUAGCAGCCCCCUAUAUAUAUAUAGUUAAUAUCCUUUUGUUUUAUAAGCAAAUAAUGGAUUAUAAAGAGGACAAGGAGUAUAUAUAGUUAAAAUUGCUCAUGAAAUAUUCUAGCGGUGCAUUUGUUUAUUCUCUUAGGUUUGACACUCCUACGUAUAAUCUAUGGAGCUUUAUAAUUAUUAACACAUGCAUACACUUUUACGACACCUCCUUUUUAUAGGAUAAAUGCAUAAUGGACAAUCACUAUCACGAACACAUGGUUUAGAAACUGCAAUGUAAGAAGAGAAAAAGGAAUGUUACUAAAAUGGGAUAAUAAAAUAUUGUGGACAAAGUAAAAUUGAAAUUUGAAAAGGAGAUAAAAAUGGCUUAUACUAUAAGAUAUAAAUUGCGCUGAAACAAGAAAUUUGCAAAGAAGGAUAAUCAUAACACAAACAAACUUCAAAAUUUUAUCCAUAUUUUUUAUCACUUUUUGAUUUAUAGAGCUUAUG